AAUCAACGCUGGCGGCGUGCCUCAGACAUGCAAGUCGAACGCGAAAGUUCCCUUCGGGGGCGAGUAGGGUGGCGCACGGGUGAGUAACACGUAGGUAAUCUACCUUUGGGUGGGGAAUAACAGCCGGAAACGGCUGCUAAUACCGCAUAAUGCAGCGGCUCGACAUCGAGACAGUUGUUAAAGCGGGGGAUCGCAAGACCUCGCGCCUAAAGAGGAGCCUGCGGCGGAUAGCUU
rnacentral:rRNA from 1 species